GGGCUUGUGGUCUAGCGGCUAUGAUACUGCCUCGACAUGGCAGGGAUCCCCGGUUCGAGACAAGGGUAUCGUUCCUUGAUCCCUGGGCGUACAUUGACUUUGUCAAGUACACCAGUUGGAUGUAACAUCGAUUCCUUUGGCGAAACUCCGGGCAGGCCCA
rnacentral:tRNA from 1 species